GACGUAGGGGGCGAGCGUUGUCCGGAUUCAUUGGGCGUAAAGAGCGCGUAGGCGGUUCGGAAAGUCGGAUGUGAAAACCCGGGGCUCAACUCCGGGCCUGCAGUCGAUACGGGCUGGCUUGAGUGCGGUAGGGGAGACUGGAAUUCCUGGUGUAGCGGUGAAAUGCGCAGAUAUCAGGAGGAACACCGGUGGCGAAGGCGGGUCUCUGGGCCGUAACUGACGCUGAGGAGCGAAAGCGUGGGGAGCGAACAGG
rnacentral:rRNA from 1 species